CACGUAGGGCGCAAGCGUUGUCCGGAAUUAUUGGGCGUAAAGAGCUCGUCGGUGGUUUGUUACGUCCGCUGUGAAAUCCUAGGGCUUAACCCUGGGCUUGCAGUGGAUACGGGCAGACUAGAGUGUGGUAGGGGAGACUGGAAUUCCUGGUGUAGCGGUGAAAUGCGCAGAUAUCAGGAGGAACACCGAUGGCGAAGGCAGGUCUCUGGGCCAUAACUGACGCUGAGAAGCGAAAGCAUGGGGAGCGAACAGG
rnacentral:rRNA from 1 species